rnacentral:lncRNA from 1 species
CAGCAUAUUACUUGAGACUUUGUAAAUUUGAAAGAAAACUUGAUUUAUGAAGCAAUUGUUUUUACAUUUUCCUACAAAAACAUUCCCAUUUUCAGAAUACUUGGGUAAGUCAUGGGAUUUUGUCUGCUGAUUGAUUGAUUAUUGUCUGUCACCAAGUGGCACCACAAUGUUUGGAUGUAACAAUGCAACAUUGAUUGAAACAACAUCACAACACAGGCAUGAGUCGUUCUUUGUCCUGUCUGCUCUCCUUUUAUGCUGGUUUCUGGCUUUUGUUUCAUGUUCAUGUUUUCAUGUGUUUUAUUUUUAUGGAGUGUAGUCAUGGACCCUCUCUAGAAAUGUGAUUCCCUUACCCUCAUGUUAUCUUGCUAUUGGUUCUUUGUUUUUUUAUGUCAUGUUCUUGUUGGUUGUUUUAGUCAUAUGUCCUGUCUUUCAUUGGUUGGUUUUUGUCAUGUGACUCAUGUGACUUGUCAUGUGAUGUUUUUUAUAUAUAGCCCUCAUGUAGCCUUUGUCUCCUGUCAAGUAUUGAUGUUGUAACCUGCUGUUGGUGAGUCAAGUCUGUUCAUUUACAUGUCAUGUCUGGAAUUAUUCAUUCAAGUCAGAGUCUACAAAGCCUGCUCCCGCCAUGUCUGCCAAUCCAGCGCCUGCUAACGUCAUGCCUGUCAAUCCAGUGCCUGCUCCCGUCACGUCUGCCAAACCAGCGCCUGCUACCAUCAUGUCUGCCAAACCAGCACCUGCACCCUUCGUGUCUGCCAAACCAGCGCCUGCUCCGGUCAUGUCUGCUAAACCAGCACCUGCUACCAUUAUGUCUGCCAAUCAGGCAUCUGCAAACGUCAUGUCUGCCAAUCCAGCGCCUGCUAAUAACAUGUCUGCCAAUCCAGCACCUGCUCCCAUCAUGCCUGCCAAACCUGCGCCUGCUCCUGCUCCCUUCAUGUCUGCCAAUCCAGUGCCUGCUAACGUCACGCCUGCCAAUCCAGCACCUGCUCCCAUCAUGCCUGCCAAACCUGCGCCUGCUCCCUUCAUGUCUGCCAAUCCAGUGCCUGCUAACGUCACGCCUGCCAAUCCAGCGUCUUCUCCCGUCAUGUCUGCCAAUCCAGUGCCUGCUCCCGUCAUGUCUGCCAAUCCAGUGCCUGCUCCCGUCAUGUCUGCCAAUCCAGUGCCUGCUCCCGUCAUGUCUGCCAAUCCAGUGCCUGCUCCCGUCAUGUCUGCCAAUCCAGUGCCUGCUCCUGUCAUGUCUGCCAAUCCAACGCCUGCUCCUGUCAUGUCUGCCAAUCCAGUGUCUGCUAACAUCAUGUCUGCCAAUCCAGCGCCUGCUAACGUCGCGUCUGCCAAAACAGGGCCAGUUCCCGCCUGGUCUAUCCAAACCAGCGCUUGCUAACGACUUGUCUGCCAAUCCAGCCCCUACUAACGGCAUGUCUUCCAAUCCAGAGCCUACUAAUGUCAUGUCUGCCAAACCAGCGCUUGCUCCCUCCAUGUCUGCCAAUCCAGCGCCUGCUAACAUCAUAUCUAACUCCAGUCCAGCGCCUGCUCCCAUCAUGUCUGCCAAUCCAGUGUCCUGCUCCCGUCGUGUAUUCCAAUCCAGCGCCUGCUCCUGUCAUGUCUGCCAAACCAACGUCAUGCCUGCCAAACCAGCGCCUGCUCCCACCAUGUCUGUCAAUCCAGCGCCUGCUACCAUCAUGUCUGACUCCAAUCCAGCAGCAGCUCCCAUCAUGUCUGCUAAUCCAGCGCCUGCUAACAUCAUAUCUGACUCCAAUCCAGCGCCUGCUCUCGUCAUGUCUGCCAAUCCAGUGACCUGCUCCCGUCGUGUCUUCCAAUCCAGCGCCUGCUCCUGUCAUGUCUGCCAAACCAACGUCAUGCCUACCAAACCAGCGCCUGCUCCCACCAUGUCUGUCAAUCCAGCGCCUGCUAACAUCAUGUCUGACUCCAAUCCAGCGGCAGCUCCCAUCAUGUCUGCUAAUCCAGCGUCUGAUAACAUCACACCUGCUAAACCAGCGCCUGCUCCCGCCAUGUCUGCCAAUCCAGCGUCUGCUCCACCAUUUCAAUGUAUUAGUUGUUUUUUCGCACUUUUAUUUAUUUAUUUUAUUUAAUUGUUUGUGCUUGUUAUAGCCAUUUGAACAUGCCAAUUAUUAUGUUAUAACCGGCUUUUGAGGCUGAGCUUUUCCCUGCUUCCUACAAAUGUUUAGCAAAUGUAUUAAUUUUGAACCAUUUUUAUUUUUUAUUCUUGCUUCAUUUCGAUCACUUUUUAACGUUCUGAAUACUUUUGUAUAUAGUAGGCUAGCCUGUAAAUUCUCGACAUGUAAAUCAAACUUUGAUUAUGCUGACUGGAAUUUUUUCUGGAAUGCUUUUUAAAUUUAACAUAUAUUUAAUUUAUUUCGGCUAAUUAAUAGACCAUAAUUAUAAAUACAAUAGUGCUUCGUUGAUGAUUUAAUCAUUCAAGUAGUUUUAUUUGUAAAUGAAAACACAACACGCUCAUUUAUCAUCACAUCGCGUCAAAACUUUAUUGGAAUAAUUGAUAAAUUAUAAAUGUAUAAAUGAUAAAUGAGCCUGUUGUGUUUUCAUUGACAAAUGAAACUACGUUUUGCUAUGCAAAGAUGGAGCUCAUGGAGCCCGUCAAGCACUGCCCUCUAGCGUCGCCACUGGAUAAAGUCUGGUAGCCCAAGGCAUUUAAAUAAUAAAAUACUUUCUAUAAUAAAUCAAAGAAUAUUUUCUUAAUUCAAAAUAAAAUAUUAAUGAAUAAAUUUCUGAUAAUCCCGGACUGCUAUGGUCAUGCAGGUUUGUUUACGCAUUAAACUCGUGGCCACGAGAAAAACAUGUUCUCUCAACAUAAGAAGUCGUGGCCACGAGAAAUGGAUGUCGUUCCCUCAACAUAGCAUCUCCAAGGCACGACAAUAUGACGUUCCCGGGAGUUAUAUGUCACGGCCACGACAAAACUAAGUGAACCGACAAUGUCAUCUCGCAGGCACCAUAAUUUUCCAUAUUAACCACUAGAGGGACUCAUUUAUCUAUAUACUGUACAUUUUCAGGAAGACAUCUAACAGCAAAAACUCAGAUAAAAGGAGAUGCUCUUUCUUUAUCAUGCCGUCUCUUUAUCAUACGGCUGAGAUUUGUGUCACUGUUGCUUACACACUUUUAUUAAUGUGUGGACUGCAGGGAAACAGAUGGAAAAAUAUUUUCACUACUUUAUAUAUAGCACCGUUGCUAGAAUGAAUUAUUCCAUAUUAUGGUGAACACAGAACUGCUUUGUAGGAGGGUUUGAGGCAAAAUGUCCCCCAAAUUCAAGAUAACAAGGCAAAACGAGUGGCUGUAGCGAUUAGUGAAAUGUUAAAUAAAUAAAAAUUGUAACGUUAGAUUGCAGGCUUACAUUUAGACUACACUCAUUUUAUCAAAGAUUUAUUUUUACCGGUGUUUUUUUUUCUUCUUCUUUUCUCAGCGUUGAUCAUUUUAAGCAAUCACUGACUUAUUUGUUGAGCGCAACCGCCAAUCAGAGACGUUUAGAUUUGUCACCGGUGAAGAAGAAACGCUGGGAUUUCGUUCAGCGUGCGGUCAGACAACACUCGACAGUUAACAAUGAAGUUAUAACAAACAAACUGCAGAUACUAUGUAAAUAGAUUUAUUUUUCAGUGUAGACUGCGUCACUGAUAAUUUUUGUUGGGAGAGCGCUAGUGAGAUUGAGAUUAAAUUUACUGGCUGCUGUAGUGAUUGGCAUCGUUCUUUACACUUUCUGUAAUUAAUCCACAGUUUUUAUAACUUUUUUUGUUUUUCAUUCUACUAAGAUAUCCAAUGCAAGGUCUUGAUUUUUUUUAAUGCGAAAAAUAAGUAAUAAACGAAUUAAUUAAUUAACGGCUCUUGAUUUGUUUUGCUGUUUAGCCUAACAUAAAUUAUAAGGUUUGUAGUGUAUUCCAUGAUGAUUCUAAAUUAUUCCCAGUUUUAAUAACAGUUUUGUUGUUGUUGUUGUUGUUUUUCAUUCUACUAAGAUAACCAAUUUGAGGUCUUGAAUUUUUUUUUAAAUACGAAAAAUAACCAAUAAACUAAUUCAUUAAUGACAUUUGGCUUGUUUUGCUGUUUAGCCUAACCUAUAAGGUUUGUAGUGUAUUCCUUGAUGAGUUUGUCAUAAUAUUGCAGCAUUACAUGUAUUCCGCCUUCAUUAAAUAGUCUGUGUAAGUGUAAAUAAACAUUUUGUAAAAAAAAUAAAAUAAAUAAAAUGCCCCAAGAAUUCACUUGCAGGGGAAAUAUUGCCCUUUAACCUGAUUCUGACUCAAUGUGCUAUUAUGCAAUUCCACUGUAAAAUCAAAUUACAUGGAAGCCUAGUUCAUUUAAUUCUAAAUGUGGUGUUAAUGUAGUUUACUGAAUUAUGGAAUUCAGUGUAAGUGUGUAUUUUUGUAAUUUAGUUGUAAAUUAACCAAAUGAACUUGACAACUGGGCACGUUCACACUCAGAUGUGCCCUUUAACCUGUUGCAAUGGCAACUGGGGAAACACCAAGAGUGUUAAAUACUUUCAGGAUGGUGGCAAGGUGGGGAUUAGAAAAUGAUAUAUAGGUUAAUAAAUAUCAUUUGCCUGGCGUGUUCUUAAAAAAAUAAAAAUAAAGUUGAUUGUGGGUGCCUGUUGAGUGUGUGUCGCUGCCUUCCUUCUUGUUUUACAUAAAGUCAUCUUUUUGCUUGGCUUCAAAUGACCAAUUACUCAAUGCAGUGCUCUUGGCAUUCUGACAGCGUGAAUGCCACAGUGUUUGUUUGAAACAUACCUAAAAACCUUUCACACACUUUUAACCUCAGAAGAGUCAUCUGAGCCAUGUGACAAGCAAU